rnacentral:rRNA from 1 species
GAUGAACGCUGGCGGCGUGCCUAAUACAUGCAAGUCGAGCGAACAGAUAAGGAGCUUGCUCCUUUGACGUUAGCGGCGGACGGGUGAGUAACACGUGGGUAACUUACCUAUAAGACUGGAAUAACUCUGGGAAACCGGGGCUAAUGCCGGAUAACAUGUUGAACCGCAUGGUUCUACAGUGAAAGGCGGCUUUGCUGUCACUUAUAGAUGGACCCGCGCCGUAUUAGCUAGUUGGUGAGGUAACGGCUCACCAAGGCAACGAUACGUAGCCGACCUGAGAGGGUGAUCGGCCACACUGGAACUGAGACACGGUCCAGACUCCUACGGGAGGCAGCAGUAGGGAAUCUUCCGCAAUGGGCGAAAGCCUGACGGAGCAACGCCGCGUGAGUGAUGAAGGUCUUCGGAUCGUAAAACUCUGUUAUUAGGGAAGAACAAAUGCGUAAGUAACUGUGCGCGUCUUGACGGUACCUAAUCAGAAAGCCACGGCUAACUACGUG